UGCGCGGUAGGAGAGUGGAACUCCGACGGGCUCAUAACCCGUAGGUCCCAGGAUCGAAACCUGGCCGCGCAA
rnacentral:ncRNA from 15 species